rnacentral:rRNA from 1 species
GUUGAGGAAGAUAAUGACGGUACUCAACAAGGAAGUGACGGCUAACUACGUGCCAGCAGCCGCGGUAAAACGUAGGUCACAAGCGUUGUCCGGAAUUACUGGGUGUAAAGGGAGCGCAGGCGGGAGAACAAGUUGGAAGUGAAAUCCAUGGGCUCAACCCAUGAACUGCUUUCAAAACUGUUUUUCUUGAGUAGUGCAGAGGUAGGCGGAAUUCCCGGUGUAGCGGUGGAAUGCGUAGAUAUCGGGAGGAACACCAGUGGCGAAGGCGGCCUACUGGGCACCAACUGACGCUGAGGCUCGAAAGUGUGGGUAGCAAACAGGAUUAGAUACCCUGGUAGUCCACACCGUAAACGAUGAUUACUAGGUGUUGGAGGAUUGACCCCUUCAGUGCCGCAGUUAACACAAUAAGUAAUCCACCUGGGGAGUACGACCGCAAGGUUGAAACUCAAAGGAAUUGACGGGGGCCCGCACAAGCAGUGGAGUAUGUGGUUUAAUUCGACGCAACGCGAAGAACCUUACCAAGUCUUGACAUCCCUUGACGAUGCUGGAAACAGCAUUUCUCUUCGGAGCAAGGAGACAGGUGGUGCAUGGUUGUCGUCAGCUCGUGUCGUGAGAUGUUGGGUUAAGUCCCGCAACGAGCGCAACCCUUAUGGUCAGUUACUACGCAAGAGGACUCUGGCCGGACUGCCGUUGACAAA